rnacentral:rRNA from 1 species
CACGUAGGCACCAAGCGUUGUCCGGAUUUAUUGGGCGUAAAGAGCUCGUAGGCGGUUCGGUAAGUCGGGUGUGAAAACUCUGGGCUCAACCCAGAGCCGCCACCCAAUACUGCUGUGACUUGAGUUCGGUAGGGGAGCGGGGAAUUCCUGGUGUAGCGGUGAAAUGCGCAGAUAUCAGGAGGAACACCAGUGGCGAAGGCGCCGCUCUGGGCCGACACUGACGCUGAGGAGCGAAAGCGUGGGUAGCAAACAGG